GAUGAACGCUGGCGGCGUGCCUAAUACAUGCAAGUCGAGCGAACGGACGAGAAGCUUGCUUCUCUGAUGUUAGCGGCGGACGGGUGAGUAACACGUGGAUAACCUACCUAUAAGACUGGGAUAACUUCGGGAAACCGGAGCUAAUACCGGAUGAUAUUUUGAACCGCAUGGUUCAAAAGUGAAAGACGGUCUUGCUGUCACUUAUAGAUGGAUCCGCGCUGCAUUAGCUAGUUGGUAAGGUAACGGCUUACCAAGGCAACGAUGCAUAGCCGACCUGAGAGGGUGGUCCGCCACACGGGAACUGAGACUCGGUCCAGACUCCUACGGGAGGCAGCAGUAGGGAAUCUUCCGCAAUGGGCGAAAGCCUGACGGAGCAACGCCGCGUGAGUGAUGAAGGUCUUCGGAUCGUAAAACUCUGUUAUUAGGGAAGAACAUAUGUGUAAGUAACUGUGCACAUCUUGACGGUACCUAAUCAGAAAGCCACGGCUAACUCCGUG
rnacentral:rRNA from 1 species